rnacentral:rRNA from 1 species
UAAUGCAAGUCGAGCGAACAGAUAAGGAGCUUGCUCCUUUGACGUUAGCGGCGGACGGGUGAGUAACACGUGGAUAACCUACCUAUAAGACUGGGAUAACUUCGGGAAACCGGAGCUAAUACCGGAUAACAUAUUGAACCGCAUGGUUCAAUAGUGAAAGGCGGCUUUGCUGUCACUUAUAGAUGGAUCCGCGCCGUAUUAGCUAGUUGGUAAGGUAACGGCUUACCAAGGCAACGAUACGUAGCCGACCUGAGAGGGUGAUCGGCCACACUGGAACUGAGACACGGUCCAGACUCCUACGGGAGGCAGCAGUAGGGAAUCUUCCGCAAUGGGCGAAAGCCUGACGGAGCAACGCCGCGUGAGUGAUGAAGGUCUUCGGAUCGUAAAACUCUGUUAUCAGGGAAGAACAAAUGUGUAAGUAACUGUGCACAUCUUGACGGUACCUGAUCAGAAAGCCACGGCUAAACUACGUGCCAGCAGCCCGCGGUAAUACGUAGGUGGCAAGCGUUAUCCGGAAUUAUUGGGCGUAAAGCGCGCGUAGGCGGUUUUUUUAAGUCUGAUGUGAAAGCCCACGGCUCAACCGUGGAGGGUCAUUGGAAACUGGAAAACUUGAGUGCAGAAGAGGAAAGUGGAAUUCCAUGUGUAGCGGUGAAAUGCGCAGAGAUAUGGAGGAACACCAGUGGCGAAGGCGACUUUCUGGUCUGUAACUGACGCUGAUGUGCGAAAGCGUGGGGAUCAAACAGGAUUAGAUACCCUGGUAGUCCACGCCGUAAACGAUGAGUGCUAAGUGUUAGGGGGUUUCCGCCCCUUAGUGCUGCAGCUAACGCAUUAAGCACUCCGCCUGGGGAGUACGACCGCAAGGUUGAAACUCAAAGGAAUUGACGGGGACCCGCACAAGCGGUGGAGCAUGUGGUUUAAUUCGAAGCAACGCGAAGAACCUUACCAAAUCUUGACAUCCUUUGACCACUCUAGAGAUAGAGUUUUCCCCUUCGGGGGACAAAGUGACAGGUGGUGCAUGGUUGUCGUCAGCUCGUGUCGUGAGAUGUUGGGUUAAGUCCCGCAACGAGCGCAACCCUUAAGCUUAGUUGCCAUCAUUAAGUUGGGCACUCUAAGUUGACUGCCGGUGACAAACCGGAGGAAGGUGGGGAUGACGUCAAAUCAUCAUGCCCCUUAUGAUUUGGGCUACACACGUGCUACAAUGGACAAUACAAAGGGCAGCUAAACCGCGAGGUCAAGCAAAUCCCAUAAAGUUGUUCUCAGUUCGGAUUGUAGUCUGCAACUCGACUACAUGAAGCUGGAAUCGCUAGUAAUCGUAGAUCAGCAUGCUACGGUGAAUACGUUCCCGGGUCUUGUACACACCGCCCGUCACACCACGAGAGUUUGUAACACCCGAAGCCGGUGGAGUAACCAUUUAUGGAGCUAGCCGUCGAGUGGA